UACGUAGGUGGCAAGCGUUGUCCGGAUUUAUUGGGUUUAAAGGGUGCGUAGGCGGCUUUGUAAGUCAGUGGUGAAAUACUCCAGCUCAACUGGAGAGGUGCCAUUGAUACUGCAGAGCUAGAGUACUGAUGAGGUAGGCGGAAUGGACGGUGUAGCGGUGAAAUGCUUAGAUAUCGUCCAGAACACCGAUAGCGAAGGCAGCUUACUAAAGAGUAACUGACGCUGAGGCACGAAAGCGUGGGGAGCAAACAGG
rnacentral:rRNA from 1 species